GACGAACGCUGGCGGCGUGCCUAACACAUGCAAGUCGAGCGGAGAUACAUUGAAGAUUUAUCGGAUAUGUAUCUUAGCGGCGGACGGGUGAGUAACGCGUGGGUAACCUGCCUUAUACAGGGGGAUAACACAGGGAAACUUGUGCUAAUACCGCAUAAUAUCAUUGUAUGGCAUCAUAUGGUGAUCAAAGGAGCAAUCCGGUAUAAGAUGGACCCGCGUCCAAUUAGCUAGUUGGUGGUGUAACGGACCACCAAGGCGACGAUUGGUAGCCGAACUGAGAGGUUGAUCGGCCACAUUGGGACUGAGACACGGCCCAGACUCCUACGGGAGGCAGCAGUGGGGAAUAUUGCACAAUGGGGGAAACCCUGAUGCAGCAACGCCGCGUGAAGGAUGAAGGUUUUCGGAUCGUAAACUUCUUUGAUGAGGGACGAAUAAUGAACGGUACCUCAAGAACAAGCCACGGCUAACUACGUGCCAGCAGCCGCGGUAAAGAGU
rnacentral:rRNA from 1 species